GACGAACGCUGGCGGCGUGCUUAACACAUGCAAGUCGAACGGAAAGGCCCUGCUUUUGUGGGGUGCUCGAGUGGCGAACGGGUGAGUAACACGUGAGUAACCUGCCCUUGACUUUGGGAUAACUUCAGGAAACUGGGGCUAAUACCGGAUAGGAGCUCCUGCUGCAUGGUGGGGGUUGGAAAGUUUCGGCGGUUGGGGAUGGACUCGCGGCUUAUCAGCUUGUUGGUGGGGUAGUGGCUUACCAAGGCUUUGACGGGUAGCCGGCCUGAGAGGGUGACCGGCCACAUUGGGACUGAGAUACGGCCCAGACGCAUACGGGAGGAAGCAGUGGGGACUAUUGCACAAUGGGCGGAAGCCUGAUGCAGCAACGCCGCGUGCGGGAUGACGGCCUUCGGGUUGUAAACCGCUUUCGCCUGUGACGAAGCGUGAGUGACGGUAAUGGGUAAAGAAGCACCGGCUAACUACGU
rnacentral:rRNA from 1 species